AUAAAGAGAGAGUCAACAAAUAGGCUAUUCAUAUUUAUUGUAUGAUUUAUUUCUUGUGAGCUUUUUUAUGCAAGUUUGUACAUUAGCAUAAAACUUACAGUGCAGUUUGCGUUUUUGGUGAAUAACCAGGUGUUUUCUUUAUAUUUGUACAUUCUAUAUUGUCAAUGUUUAAUUUAACCUGAAGGGGCAUUUAAAACAAAUAAUCGCAAAAGUGCCCUCUGGUGGCGUAUAUAUGCGUUGCACCAUAAGCGAAGAUGAGCCUCCAGACGUGACAGUUUUUUUUCUUUUCAAACUGAGGAGUUCGGACUCCGGACCGGCAUGUCUGCUUGUUGGUACCCUGAGGUAAGUAAACGUUCUACAUUUUUGAAACGAUAUUACUGAAAUAUUUAGUAUAAUUAGUUAAUAUUUAUUUUGUAAGAGGUCUUGUGCUAAAUAGUGAUAGAAGCUACAUUUAUAAUAUUUACCUCAGUUAAAAAAUACUGUUGGUAACGUUAAAGCACUGACGGGCUUCGUCAACCGUCAGUUAUAAAAGCUCUGUUAAAUACAUUUUGUUCCGGGUUUUAAUGAAUUACGUUACAGUCCUGCUUUAUUUCUUUGUCAUUUUAGAUUAAAUUGCCAAUCACAAUAAGACAGCUGUGUGUUGUAAGGAGACGAAUGAAGCGCGUGGUCAAGGGAACCGGGUGGAAGGGAAAUUAUAUGUAAAUGUUUGUCGCAGUUUUACACAUAUUCCGUGAGUAUUUUUCGUUUGUUCACGAGUGUUUUAUCAGGGUUGGAGCUAAACUCUGAAGAAAAAAGUAAACUGGUGGCCACAGUUGGGAAAUUUCCGCCGGUCUUUAUUAUAAAUGCACGAUUGCAGUGCAGCGUUCGUAUCCGCAACAAGUCUAGAUUUGCAUGUUUUCUGUGAUGCACACAAUGAAUUAAUGUGAUGGUAGCUGUUAAGACACUUACAUUUAACAUUCAAAUGUUUUAAAAACCAAACGUGUUCAGGUUUUUAUGCGUAUUUGGUUUGUGAAGUGUAAUUUAUGCUUUUUUCCUUCCCCUCACAGAUAACCAUGGUUAAUAAAUGGUCCGUUAUGACACGUCACUGGCUUUAAAAUAUUAACCCCAUUGAUGCAAAAAGAUGCUGCAUGGAAUGACAAUGAGGUUUGGAACAGACUUGGUGAAGAACAUGGAAACAUCUCUAAAUAACAUGGCCCCAACCAUCAUCAGGAGUGCAAAAGAAUGAAGUAAAAACAUCUCUACGCCAAUCUCAUUGGAACAGCAGAGGAAACCACAGAAGGUCUGGUGAGGAAUGCUGCACUUAUGUUAUUGCAAGCAUUAUUUUAAGAAAAUCCCAGCUUCCUUUGCUGUGUAAAUAGUGAACCCAAAGAUCCCACACCAACCAUAGUGUUCAACGGCUCUCCUGAUCCUCUCAAAUCUCAAAGUAUCAACUUUAUAAUGGACAAUGUGAACAUAAUAUGUGGAAGACAUUGACAUCACAGGCUGUGGAAUGACUGUUUGCGGGUUUUUUUCUCUUCAAUGUUCAAUACCCUUUUGCCAUUAAGCACACAGUGACUUUAAUUUAUAAAAUAUAUGCUUAAAUUUAAAUACCUGUACAAUCAACUUGUGUAAAUUGUCAUUCUAUUUAAUAGAUUGUUCAUGAAUUGUCUUUAAAUGCAUUGUGAUUUCUUUUCAUCAUUUCAGACACAUGUAAAAGUUACUAAAAAUUAGUACUGCAUAUACUGUACAGUAUCUUUGUUUAUAAAAACAGAAAAUGCGUAAGGGAAAUAACUUGAACAAAAUUUUUGAAUGUAUAGUGUAAUUAAGAGUUUAGCUGUUUAAUACAGAGAUGCAAUUUUAAUAUAUAUAUAUAUAUAUAAACGCAUGUAUGUUUAUAAAAAAGUGAAAAUGCUUAGUGGAAAUAAUUAAAUAACUAAAU